AGAGUUUGAUCCUGGCUCAGAUUGAACGCUGGCGGCAUGCCUUACACAUGCAAGUCGAACGGCAGCGCGGGGCAACCUGGCGGCGAGUGGCGAACGGGUGAGUAAUAUAUCGGAACGUAGCCUGGAGUGGGGGAUAACGUAGCGAAAGUUACGCUAAUACCGCAUACGAUCUAAGGAUGAAAGUGGGGGAUCGCAAGACCUCAUGCUCCUGGAGCGGCCGAUAUCUGAUUAGCUAGUUGGCGGGGUAAAAGCCCACCAAGGCAACGAUCAGUAGCUGGUCUGAGAGGACGACCAGCCACACUGGAACUGAGACACGGUCCAGACUCCUACGGGAGGCAGCAGUGGGGAAUUUUGGACAAUGGGCGCAAGCCUG
rnacentral:rRNA from 1 species